rnacentral:rRNA from 1 species
UACGUAGGGUCCGAGCGUUGUCCGGAAUUACUGGGCGUAAAGAGCUCGUAGGCGGUUUGUCGCGUCUGCUGUGAAAACCCGAGGCUCAACCUCGGGCCUGCAGUGGGUACGGGCAGACUAGAGUGCGGUAGGGGAGAUUGGAAUUCCUGGUGUAGCGGUGGAAUGCGCAGAUAUCAGGAGGAACACCAAUGGCGAAGGCAGAUCUCUGGGCCGUAACUGACGCUGAGGAGCGAAAGCAUGGGGAGCGAACAGG